AUUGAACGCUGGCGGCAUGCCUUACACAUGCAAGUCGAACGGUAACAGGUUAAGCUGACGAGUGGCGAACGGGUGAGUAAUGUAUCGGAACGUUCCCAGUCGUGGGGGAUAACUGCUCGAAAGAGCAGCUAAUACCGCAUACGACCUGAGGGUGAAAGCGGGGGAUCGCAAGACCUCGCGCGAUUGGAGCGGCCGAUAUCAGAUUAGGUAGUUGGUGAGGUAAAGGCUCACCAAGCCGACGAUCUGUAGCUGGUCUGAGAGGACGACCAGCCACACUGGGACUGAGACACGGCCCAGACUCCUACGGGAGGCAGCAGUGGGGAAUUUUGGACAAUGGGCGCAAGCCUGAUCCAGCCAUGCCGCGUGCGGGAAGAAGGCCUUCGGGUUGUAAACCGCUUUUGUCAGGGAAGAAAAGGUUCUGGCUAAUACCUGGGACUCAUGACGGUACCUGAAGAAUAAGCACCGGCUAACUACGUG
rnacentral:rRNA from 1 species